CGGCAGUAUUCUGUACAGUAGACACAAGAAUUAUGUACGCCUUUUAUCACAGACUUAAGAGCCAAAAAGCUUUUCAUCUCUCUGAAGGGAAAACUGAACUAGACAGUUCCCUUCUGUGUCUAAAUUUUCCAAAAGGUUGAUUUGCUUAAUAUAGUAGUGUAUACAAUGGAUAAAUUGCUGUUACUUCAAGAAUUAAAAUUCUCAUUUUCUCCCUUUCUGUUUUUUUUCCUUAUAUUCAACACUUUAUGAUGCCCUUUUGUCACUAUCCUACUCAAAGAGGAAAGGAGAACCCACCAGACCUGUCCCAGUGACUCUACCUUUGUUCUAGAAGGCGCUCCUUUCAGGGUUGUGGUACCUGUAGGUUAGCAGACCCUCCUCCUUUCCCACCCACCCAAGUGUGGCCCAGCAC
rnacentral:lncRNA from 1 species